UACCUCUGUGUCCUUGGUUUCCGAGGAGACAGGCCCUUAAACCUGGAUGAUGACAUAUAGCCGUGCGACCUGAGUGUGAUUGACGGCUGUGUCUCCUUCGGGAUUCUCGGUGCUGUAGACGAUUCGCCACCCGAUUAGGGCUUCCUCUCCGGGGUGGUCAGAUGGUUGUCUGAUGCCAGCCGGUGUGCGACUUCAGUGUGAUUGACGGCUGUGUCUCCUUCGGGAUUCUCUGCGCUGUAGACGAUUCGCCACCCGGUUAGGUCUUCCUUUCCAGGAUUGGUCGCACCCGGUUAGGUCUUCCUUCGCAGGGUUUGUCGCACGGUUGUCUGACAGGGUUGGUUAAGACUUCUCAGAACAUUCAUGCGUCUGAUUCUCGUCAAAGGCAUCAGUUUGGUAUAGCAAUGGUUUUGUAUGGACGAUUUGCUUACUUGAAUGGAGAGAGUUAUGAGACUCAAGUUUGUAAGCUUUACACUAUGAAGACCUACCUUGACAAGGACCGAAACUGUCAAAUGAAUCAUGAAUGUAAUGAGCUAAUUCAUUCAGUGAAGCUAGCUUGGUUGGCACCACUAGUGGUUGGUAUUUGGUAAAGGAGCUUUCGGGGUACAAUUUACGAAUCUCUUUGUGCAGAGAAGUCUCUAGGAGACAUAGUGACACUGUCUAUAUAAAUUGAGUCGCUAGGCUCCUCUGGAUUUGUUCUUAUAUUUCCCAGUCACGUUUUACCCUUUGGGAUAGUUAUGAUGUUAGCAGUGCCGGCUUAACUAGGUGGGCGGAUAGUGCGACCGCUCCGGGUACAUAAAUUAAAAGGGCAUAUACGUAUAAGAAAAGGGG